UUAAGUUAGAAAGGGCGCACGGUGGAUGCCUUGACACUAGGAGUCGAUGAAGGACGGGACUAACGCCGAUAUGCUUCGGGGAGCUGUAAGUAAGCUUUGAUCCGAAGAUUUCCGAAUGGGGAAACCCACCAUACGUAAUGGUAUGGUAUCCUUAUCUGAAUACAUAGGGUAAGGAAGACAGACCCAGGGAACUGAAACAUCUAAGUACCUGGAGGAAGAGAAAGCAAAUGCGAUUUCCUGAGUAGCGGCGAGCGAAACGGAACAUAGCCCAAACCAAGAGGCUUGCCUCUUGGGGUUGUAGGACAUUCUAUACGGAGUUACAAAGGAACGAGGUAGACGAAGCGACCUGGAAAGGUCCGUCGUAGAGGGUAACAACCCCGUAGUCGAAACUUCGUUCUCUCUUGAAUGUAUCCUGAGUACGGCGGAACACGUGAAAUUCCGUCGGAAUCUGGGAGGACCAUCUCCCAAGGCUAAAUACUCCCUAGUGAUCGAUAGUGAACCAGUACCGUGAGGGAAAGGUGAAAAGCACCCCGGAAGGGGAGUGAAAGAGAUCCUGAAACCGUGUGCCUACAAAUAGUCAGAGCCCGUUAACGGGUGAUGGCGUGCCUUUUGUAGAAUGAACCGGCGAGUUACGAUCCCGUGCGAGGUUAAGCUGAAGAGGCGGAGCCGCAGCGAAAGCGAGUCUGAAUAGGGCGUUUAGUACGUGGUCGUAGACCCGAAACCAGGUGAUCUACCCAUGUCCAGGGUGAAGUUCAGGUAACACUGAAUGGAGGCCCGAACCCACGCACGUUGAAAAGUGCGGGGAUGAGGUGUGGGUAGCGGAGAAAUUCCAAUCGAACCUGGAGAUAGCUGGUUCUCCCCGAAAUAGCUUUAGGGCUAGCCUUAAGUGUAAGAGUCUUGGAGGUAGAGCACUGAUUGGACUAGGGGUCCUCAUCGGAUUACCGAAUUCAGUCAAACUCCGAAUGCCAAUGACUUAUCCUUAGGAGUCAGACUGCGAGUGAUAAGAUCCGUAGUCAAAAGGGAAACAGCCCAGACCACCAGCUAAGGUCCCAAAGUGUGUAUUAAGUGGAAAAGGAUGUGGAGUUGCUUAGACAACUAGGAUGUUGGCUUAGAAGCAGCCACCAUUUAAAGAGUGCGUAAUAGCUCACUAGUCGAGUGACUCUGCGCCGAAAAUGUACCGGGGCUAAAUACACCACCGAAGCUGCGAAUUGAUACCAAUGGUAUCAGUGGUAGGGGAGCGUUCUAAGGGCAGUGAAGUCAGACCGUAAGGACUGGUGGAGCGCUUAGAAGUGAGAAUGCCGGUAUGAGUAGCGAAAGACGGGUGAGAAUCCCGUCCACCGAAUGCCUAAGGUUUCCUGAGGAAGGCUCGUCCGCUCAGGGUUAGUCAGGACCUAAGCCGAGGCCGACAGGCGUAGGCGAUGGACAACAGGUUGAUAUUCCUGUACCACCUCUUUAUCGUUUGAGCAAUGGAGGGACGCAGAAGGAUAGAAGAAGCGUGCGAUUGGUUGUGCACGUCCAAGCAGUUAGGCUGAUAAGUAGGCAAAUCCGCUUAUCGUGAAGGCUGAGCUGUGAUGGGGAAGCUCCUUAUGGAGCGAAGUCUUUGAUUCCCCGCUGCCAAGAAAAGCUUCUAGCGAGAUAAAAGGUGCCUGUACCGCAAACCGACACAGGUAGGCGAGGAGAGAAUCCUAAGGUGUGCGAGAGAACUCUGGUUAAGGAACUCGGCAAAAUGACCCCGUAACUUCGGGAGAAGGGGUGCUUUCUUAACGGAAAGCCGCAGUGAAUAGGCCCAAGCGACUGUUUAGCAAAAACACAGGUCUCUGCGAAGCCGUAAGGCGAAGUAUAGGGGCUGACACCUGCCCGGUGCUGGAAGGUUAAGGAGAGGGGUUAGCGUAAGCGAAGCUCUGAACUGAAGCCCCAGUAAACGGCGGCCGUAACUAUAACGGUCCUAAGGUAGCGAAAUUCCUUGUCGGGU
rnacentral:rRNA from 1 species